rfam:Betaproteobacteria bacterium RIFCSPLOWO2_12_FTLL_62_58 rifcsplowo2_12_scaffold_2369, whole genome shotgun sequence.
GAAGUCCCGUCUGGGGAGUUGUCCGUACGCCCCGGUAGCUGAGGAAGCGGCGUCGUGGCAACACGGGGUCGUGAGUUUUCAAACGGCAAGAGAGCAGGCCGUAACGCAAGUGAACUCAUGAGUAGCCUCGUAAACAAACUGGAGAAGCCGACCCUGUGGUCAGAAGGGGAAGGCCGUUGGAUGGGCGCUGGAAUAACGGAAGUAGCGUCAAUCGACUCCCGGGGUAGCAGGGAC